AGUGAACGCUGGCGGCAGGCCUAACACAUGCAAGUCGAACGGCAGCACAGAGGAGCUUGCUCCUUGGGUGGCGAGUGGCGGACGGGUGAGGAAUACAUCGGAAUCUGCCUAUUUGUGGGGGAUAACGUAGGGAAACUUGCGCUAAUACCGCAUACGACCUACGGGUGAAAGCGGAGGACCUUCGGGCUUCGCGCAGAUAGAUGAGCCGAUGUCGGAUUAGCUAGUUGGCGGGGUAAAGGCCCACCAAGGCGACGAUCCGUAGCUGGUCUGAGAGGAUGAUCAGCCACACUGGAACUGAGACACGGUCCAGACUCCUACGGGAGGCAGCAGUGGGGAAUAUUGGACAAUGGGCGCAAGCCUGAUCCAGCCAUGCCGCGUGGGUGAAGAAGGCCUUCGGGUUGUAAAGCCCUUUUGUUGGGAAAGAAAAGCAGUCGGUUAAUACCCGAUUGUUCUGACGGUACCCAAAGAAUAAGCACCGGCUAACUUCGUGCCAGCAGCCGCGGUAAUACGAAGGGUGCAAGCGUUACUCGGAAUUACUGGGCGUAAAGCGUGCGUAGGUGGUUUGUUAAGUCUGAUGUGAAAGCCCUGGGCUCAACCUGGGAAUUGCAUUGGAUACUGGCAGGCUAGAGUGCGGUAGAGGGUAGUGGAAUUCCCGGUGUAGCAGUGAAAUGCGUAGAGAUCGGGAGGAACAUCCGUGGCGAAGGCGACUACCUGGACCAGCACUGACACUGAGGCACGAAAGCGUGGGGAGCAAACAGGAUUAGAUACCCUGGUAGUCCACGCCCUAAACGAUGCGAACUGGAUGUUGGGUUCAACUAGGAACUCAGUAUCGAAGCUAACGCGUUAAGUUCGCCGCCUGGGGAGUACGGUCGCAAGACUGAAACUCAAAGGAAUUGACGGGGGCCCGCACAAGCGGUGGAGUAUGUGGUUUAAUUCGAUGCAACGCGAAGAACCUUACCUGGCCUUGACAUGCACGGAACUUUCCAGAGAUGGAUUGGUGCCUUCGGGAACCGUGACACAGGUGCUGCAUGGCUGUCGUCAGCUCGUGUCGUAAGAUGUUGGGUUAAGUCCCGCAACGAGCGCAACCCUUGUCCUUAGUUGCCAGCACGUAAUGGUGGGAACUCUAAGGAGACCGCCGGUGACAAACCGGAGGAAGGUGGGGAUGACGUCAAGUCAUCAUGGCCCUUACGGCCAGGGCUACACACGUACUACAAUGGGAAGGACAGAGGGCUGCGAACCCGCGAGGGCAAGCCAAUCCCAGAAACCUUCUCUCAGUCCGGAUCGGAGUCUGCAACUCGACUCCGUGAAGUCGGAAUCGCUAGUAAUCGCAGAUCAGCAUUGCUGCGGUGAAUACGUUCCCGGGCCU
rnacentral:rRNA from 1 species